GUAGUUCCAGUUGACGAUGUGUGAAUCAGGCAAUCAGCGCCCUUGUGCAGCUUUGCUCCAUGGUGCUUGUUUCUUUGUGAGGAGACACCGGAUAGGAUGGGACAUUGCUCGCCCUCCCCAAGCUCGGUAGUUCCAUGGAAUGAACAACCAAUUAGUUAAAGCAAUGUCAAGUCUUAUUUUCACACAAAAGUGCAAGAUGUUGAUUGUACAUCAUCAACAUGUGCCAUUUGCUUGGAAGACUACAUCAGAAAACGUCAUAUAUUUUGGAACAGAGGUAGUAGUCAAUAAUUAGCUUAUUCGUUUUUUAUAUGGUUGUAUAUAUCCUAGCAAGAGACCACUCUGUAGUCAUUUCCUUAGUUUCUUGAGAGCUGGGACCACACUUAUAGUGAAGAAAACUAUGUUCAACUAACAGAAUUAACUUGGAUGCACCUAUGCACAAUCAUAUCUGUACAAGUUUUGGCGGCAUAUGCUUAUUUCAAAUUAGGCUUGUGGUGUUAGAUUAAUAUAUUCAUUGGAUAUGGUGUGAA